GACGAACGCUGCGGCGUGCUUAACACAUGCAAGUCGAACGGUAAGGCCCUUCGGGGUACACGAGUGGCGAACGGGCGAGUAACACGUGGGUGAUCUGCCCUGCACUUCGGGAUAAGCCUGGGAAACUGGGUCUAAUACCGGAUAGGACCACUGCCUGAAUGGGGGGUGGUGGAAAGCUUUUGCGGUGUGGGAUGGGCCCGCGGCCUAUCAGCUUGUUGGUGGGGUGAUGGCGUACCAAGGCGACGACGGGUAGGCGGCCUGAGAGGGUGACCGGCCACACUGGGACUGAGAUACGGCCCAGACUCCUACGGGAGGCAGCAGUGGGGAAUAUUGCACAAUGGGCGCAAGCCUGAUGCAGCGACGCCGCGUGAGGGAUGACGGCCUUCGGGUUGUAAACCUCUUUCAGCACCGACGAAGCGCAAGUGACGGUAGGUGCAGAAGAAGGACCGGCCAACUACGUGCCAGCCGCCGCAGUAA
rnacentral:rRNA from 1 species